GCUGGAAAGUUGAGUCCACCUGAACAGCUUGAUGCUAUUUGUGGAGUAGCUCUGCAGCUACAGCAAGAGUUGAUGUGGUUUGAGGAAGUGAGUAACAUCGUGGAUCCAUCGAAAGCUCAUGAAAAAA